rnacentral:precursor_RNA from 15 species
CAUUCCGACAUCUUUGGAGCUGUGACGGAGGUGCAUUGUAGUCGCAUUGUCUGUAUCCUUUAUUCUCUGCGGCAAUACAACUGCAGUGCAAGCUCCGUGCAGUUCACUCGCAACGUCGGACACC